CACACAUGACCGAGGAAAGUUUGUGUCCGUGCAUUCUUUACUCAUUAUCCCCUUUCAGGUGCAACAUGGAACUUCUGCUGCUGCCAGCUGUACUGAAAGGAAGCUUUUCAAACGUGGCAGCAGCUCAGGGAGCAGCACAUCACUGCAGCAAGGCUCUGGACGAACUGAAACCAGAUACCCUAGAAGAUGCGUUUGAUGUUAUCUUUUGGAGCACUUGAAGGCCAUGGUGUAUCAGGUGAAGAUGCGACACAUAAAUCAUCUCAAGGAAUGUAUCACUAACGCCAUUACAAGCAUAACUUCAACUAUGCUAAUGCAAGUUCAUCAACAGUGGAAAACACGUAUUAUGUGUUUUCAAAACAAUGACUAUCAUAUAGAGCACAUUAUAUAAAUAAAAAUGGUUGUCCAAC
ensembl:lncRNA